UGUUCUUUAUGGGUCUCCAUCUAAGGAGUAGUUUGGUUUUUUUUUGGUACAGGGGAUCAAGCUCGGGUCCUUGUGCUUGCACAGCAGGCAGCGAAACCACUAAACUAAAUCUCCAGCCCUAAGGAGUGUUUUUUUUUUUUUUUUUGGCAGAGCUUUUACUUAUCUGUACCAUUUUGUUCAAUGUCAGCCUUUUCUACUGCAUUGGAAUCUGCAGGAUACAGGACAAUUAAAUCCGUUUCAACAUCCUCAUUAGAAGCUAGCAAUGAGAAAACUGAAGCCCUCAGAAGAAAUUUGCUCAAGAUUCCAGACAAUCAGUCAUGGGCUUAGCCUGUAAGAUGCUCCACUGUUUCUGACACCUCUCUUCACCCUGCAAUCUCACAAGAAAUGACUUGGAGGGCCAAGGAUUUAGCUCAGUGGUGCCGCUGCCUGUCUUGCAAGCACAAGGUCCCGAGUUCAAUGCCUGGUACCAAAAAACAAAACAUUUUAAUAAGAACCAAGAGAUUAUGUAAAGGUGCCAAUUUCCAAUGAUGAAUGUCAUUAUAUUGUAUACCUAAAUUGUACCAAUAAAAUAAAAAUUUAAAAAAAGAAAUGACUUGGAUGUGGGGGGUGCUUCAGACUUCU
rnacentral:lncRNA from 1 species